GUCUGUUUGUAAUAUUGUGAACAGUCUGGCCUGCCCACUGAGUGUUUAAAGGGCUGCGGUAAUUUGACCGUGCGAAGGUAGCAUAGUCACUAGUCCCUUAAUUGGGGGCUUGUAUGAAAGGUCGGAUGAGAAAUAAGCUGUCUUUUUUGUGUUGUGAAUUUAACUUUUAAGUGAAAAGGCUUAGAUUUUUUAGGGGGACGAUAAGACCCUAUAAAACUUAAUAUAGUUUCUUUUUGAUGCGAGGGCAGAGUUUAAAUCCGUUUUUAAGAAAUUAUAUUUUGUUGGGGAGAUGUUUGUAUAAUUUGUAACUGCUUUGUGAAUUGAAUAAUUAUAAUUAGUUUUUGAUCCUUUAUUAGAGAUUUAAAGAUUAAGUUACUUUAGGGAUAACAGCGUGAUUGUCUUUGAGAGUUCUUAUCGACAAGAUUAGUUGCGACCUCGAUGUUGAAUUAAAAUUUCAGAUUGGUGUAGCCGCUUUUCUGGUAGGUCUGUUCGACCUUUAAAAUUUU
rnacentral:rRNA from 1 species